AACGCUGGCGGCGUGCCUAAUACAUGCAAGUCGAACGGUCUUUUCUAUGGAAGCUUGCUUCCACUGAAAAGAUAGUGGCGAACGGGUGAGUAACACGUGGGUAACCCUGCCCAUAAGAGGGGGAUAACAUCCGGAAACGGGUGCUAAUACCGCAUAGUUUUCUUGAUCGCAUGAUCGGGAAAGGAAAGACGGCCUUUGUGCUGUCGCUUAUGGAUGGACCCGCGGCGUAUUAGUUAGUUGGUGAGGUAACGGCUCACCAAGACGAUGAUACGUAGCCGACCUGAGAGGUGAUCGGCCACAUUGGGACUGAGACACGGCCCAAACUCCUACGGGAGGCAGCAGUAGGGAAUCUUCCGCAAUGGACGAAAGUCUGACGGAGCAACGCCGCGUGAGUGAAGAAAGGUUUUCGGAUCGUAAAACUCUGUUGUCAGAGAAGAACAAGUUGGAGAGUAACUGCUCCAGCCUUGACGGUAUCUGACCAGAAAGCCACGGCUAACUACGUGCCAGCCGCUGC
rnacentral:rRNA from 1 species